AUUUUUGCUACUUCCAGAAAAUGUUAGAUGGUUCAGGGGCUUGGAGUCAGGAAAACAUUAGUUCAAAUGUGGUCUCAGAUAUUUACUAGUCAUGUGAUCUUGGGCAAGGAUCUUAACCUCUGUUUGCCUCAGUUUCUUUGACUGUAAAAAUAGGGAUAAUAGUACCUGCCUCUCAGGGUUGUUUUGAGAACCAAAUGAAAUACUAACUGUAGCACAGGGUUAAGCAGAGUACCUGACUCAUAACAGGCAAUUAAUAAAUCUAUUCCUCCCUCCCUGCCUUCUUUCCUCCCUGCCUUCUUCCUUCCUUCCUUCCUUCCUUCCUUCCUUCCUUCCUUCCUUCCUUCCUUCCUUCCUUCCUUCCUUCCUUCCUUCCUUCCUUCCUUCCUUCCUUCCUUCCUUCCUUCCUUCCUUCCUUCCUUCCUUCCUUCCUUCCUUCCUUCCUUCCUUCCUUCCUUCCUUCCUUCCUUCCUUCCUCCCUUCCUUCCCCCCUUCCUUUUUUCCUCCCUCCGUUCCUCCCUCCCUCCCUCCUUCCCUCUCUUUCUGUCUGUCUCUUUCUCUUUCUUUGUCUCUCUCCCCCUCCCUCCCUCCGUCCCUUCCUCUCUCUCUCUCUCUCUCUCUCUCUCUCUCUCUCUCUCUCUCUCUCUCUCUCUCUCUCAUUAGGAUGUUGGGAUUGUUUCUCAAAGCACCUGUUUUUCAAGAGUUUCCUCCUACCUCCAGAACUUCCAGUUACAUACUUCACUUCACUUCACAUUCCUUAGAAAGUUCGAUAAUUGCUGUGGACAAAAUAAUCCAUCAUCUGAUGGUCACCCCUCCACGCUACCACUCUUUGAAGCAGAUAGGUGGCAUUGUGAAUAGAACUUGGGACUUGGAGUCAUAGAGACUUGGGUUUGAAUCCAGCCUCAGACACUUACUCUGUGACCCUGGGCAAGAAUGGAGAGAGCUAUGAUAGAAGGAUCUGCUGUUCAAGCUGGAGUUCAGAGAAAUAUAGCACUUCACUAUUUCAGACAUUUGUGGUUCCUUCCUCUAACACAGAUCACUCUUCUAUGUCAUAGGUAGUCUUUGUGAGUUCUUAUCUCUGGAAAAUUCAUCAUGCUGUGGCCAACUUGGUAACAAAUGUCCCUGAACUUGUCUAGGCUGGUUCUCAUAUGAAAAAAAAAAUCAGUCCAUUCUUGGGCUUAUACUCAAAAGCUUUCUAGUUCAGUAGAACCAACAAGAGCUUGUGGUCUGGCAGGAUAGCUUUAAGAUCCAGGAUUAUGCCCCAUGGAGGGAACAGAGUAGGAUUUUGGUAGAAGAAUAAUCCUCAUCCUCAGUAAUCUCCAUCUUCAAUAGUCAUCCUUCUCCUCUUCAAUCAUAUCAGUAUAAUGUUCCCAAUGAAUAUGGAGGUCAUAGGGAGAGAAUACAUUCUUUAAAAAAAUUGAACCAAAGGAGAAAUUCUUCUUUGGCUAAUAUUUAGUGAUUUGAGAGAAACUGGAAUGAUAAGAGCAGAUUAGAGCACUGGACUCAGUUAAGAAGAUCUGUAUUUGAAUCCCUCCUAUUUUAUGUUAGUCCUUUGCCAUAAGGGAAUCCCUCCUGGGAGCAUGAAGGGUUCUCUUAUUGAUCCUUACUUUCUACAACUGGACUCACAGUACCCUUUCCCCCCAGUUUAGGUGCAAUUGUCAACAGGUUAAGUCCUUUUCUGGUACCUAAUUUAUUGGCCCAGGGAUAAGUCAGAGAUGUAGGUGAAAAUAACUCUCUUAAUGAGAAUAGCCACUAAUAGUAAAAUAUAAAACUAAGGGAAUCCAGUAAGUACAACACUUUUUUGGAAAACAAGGAAGAGGGAGAAGAGCAGAAGGGGAAAUCAGAUAACAUAUUCUAUACUCUCAAACAAAGAGUGUAACUCAUGUCAAAGUAGUGUUACAUUGGGGAACAAAGAGACAUGGAUCUAUUCA
rnacentral:lncRNA from 1 species